rfam:Aedes albopictus isolate Foshan contig35377, whole genome shotgun sequence.
UGCUCUGCGGCUUAGUUGGUCAAAGCGCCGGUCUAGCGAAUACGGAGCGUGGGUUCAAAUCCCACCAGAACGC